GGAGAAAGCACAGACGGAGCUGUUAGGAAGUGAACAUGGCAGGCUGCUCUCAGCCCUGAAGCUGGCCAUGUCACCUGUCCUCUGGGCCUCUGGGGGUAUUCGCCCCUGGCAGCAGGCAGGAGAUUCAGAGAGGGAGGGGCAGACCCACCCACCCUGGGAAGAAGACCCUGAAUUGGGUAGAAGAGCCAAGGAUUGUGGCCCCACUUACACCCACCUGGGUGUCUGUCUUCAAAGUCUUGUGCAACCCAGCCUUCCCCCAAAAGCCCACUUCAAUUCCUUAAACCCACAGGACGUCCUUCUCCAACUUCCCAUACUAGUUGCCCUGCUCCUAAGGGCCCUUCCUGUGUACUUGUUUGGAAGGGUCUUUCUGGGUUCCUGUGCAUUUAAGUCUGGAUUACAGUCAGAGUUGGUGCUCCCAAGACAGGCCUUCUCCCUGUUUCCCCAGCACUAGACAGGUCCUGUCACAGGAUCCAGAGAACUGACUAGCUAAGCCAGGCCAGACUUCAAGGCUGCAGCCACUGGACAAAAAGAGUUCUCAUGAGGCCUUCUCCAUUUUACAGAUGAGACCUAGGGAGUGUCUCCUGGGAGAACCUGAAAGGGUGGCUGGGUAUGCAAACAAUGACACAUCAGCUGGUGGCCGGUUGGUCCUGUGCUGCUCACUAAUCUAGCCUCAUUAUUCACUCCAAAACACCCAGACCUCUGCUACAAGAUCCAGGGCCCUGGCCCACCCUGCCCUAGUCAGUUGGAAGGCACUGGAGUCAUUCAUAUUCUCCCUGAGAAACUGAUGACCAGCCAUUGAUAUGGGUGCUGCCAUCCUAGGCAUCUGCCUAGGACCACAGAGUGGUAAGUGCAAGGUCUGAGGAUUGCAGAGAGGAUCAAGGCUGUGCCCGUUCUGUCUCUGGGGAUGCAGAGAGCAGACAGAUAGGCAGGUAGAACGCUACAGGACUCGCCCCACAGUGUCAGGUCCAGGGAUCUGAGUGGCUGCUGGUGACCCAGCAAGGGAAGAAUAUAUAACCAUUACGGUGGCUUCUGUCCCUUUUAGAAUGAGGCAGUGGGAAUGAAAACACGCUUGUCACUAAGGGCAAAGGGAAAAGUCUGCAACGUUUGGGAAGGAAAUCCUGGCUGUAUCUGUGUUCCUUCAGGCCACCCAGAGUGCAAGGGCCUGGGUGGGCCGUGUUGCCAUAGUGGUUUGAGAGUUCCUGAGGGUAGAGCCUGGGUCUCUGUCCUCUGCUCUGAUUGCCACACCUGAGCUGAGGUUGCCGCAAGGCUGUCCAGUCCUCAUCCUCUGCCUCCCUGGUACAGCUCCUCCUUGGGAGACUCCUUCCUGACAGUGCCUGUCCCCUGCAGCCUUGGAGAAGCAGGCCUCCUGUGGCCUCACAUGUCUCUCUGCAGCCAAAACAGCCUCACAGGUGCUACCUGCAGGGGACAUGGAGACUUGACAGCUGGGCUCUGGCUUUCGCCUUAGGCCACGGGGAGGAGGGAUCACUCCCAAAGCAGCCUGUGGGACCUACCAGGGAAGCAUUAGCACAUUUCCAAUUUCCUUAGUCACAUUACUUUUUCUGCAGUAUUUGUCAUGUCACACAUACCACACCCAUUUGGAAAUGGCUUCCUCCCCUGGCUUUCAGGACAUUGUGCUCCUUGGGUCAUCUUGCCUCUUUGGCCAUCAUUUCUGUCUCCUCCCACAGCCCUUUGUCUCCUUUGCAAAGUCCUGCCCUCAGCCCUCCUCUCUCUCCUUGGGGAACCCUGAUGUCUCCUACAGUUUGGAUUAACAUGUUUACACUGGUGACUUCUAAAUCUAUGGUCUUCCAAUCAAGCAUCUCCUCCAUAACCCUCAACCUCAUCCAUCCCAUGAGAGUUCAAGCCUCACUGUCGUUUCCCUGGGGCUGACUUUAAAAACAUGGGCCCUCAGGCAUUUGGGGCUAACUUCCCUCCCUGGUGCAGAUGAGUUCAUCAGUUUCCUCUCUCAGGGCUGGAAGUACUGGGUAGCAACGGUAACACUGGAGGGAGACUGUGCAGGAAGGACGGGGCCUGGGUGGGGGCUGGGAAGCUGUGGAGCAACUCGGGUCACAGGGACACACAUGGUCUUCGAGGCCACUGGGCAGGUCCUGGUGGCAUUUGAUCCCUGAGUGAAACUGCCAGUCACUUUGGGUCAUUGAGCCAGGGUGCAAAGCCCUAGACUGAGAAGCCCCUUGCAAAGCCCACCAUUCAGCAUCUCGGGUCACUGUCCGUGAUAGAAGGCCAUCUGGUGGCAAGAACAAAGGUCUCUGGCACUGUGCCUGCAAACUCAAGCCUUUACUGUAGGCUUCCUGUAUGUCUUCCCUGAGAAAUGCAGCCAGUGCACCAUAAGCAUCACAUGGAAAUGUAAUCAGGGAGAUUAAAUGUGAAAUAUUCAUGAAUAUAAGUAUCAGAGAGGAAUCCAGGCAGAAGGAAGCGUCUGGCUCCAAGAAAUCAGGGAGAAUUUAAAAUGCUCCCCAAGGACAUUUGACAGGAGUUAGCUAGAUCCGGGAACUAGAGUGGGGAUUAGCAAGAUUAUUAAUAAACACUCAGCAGAGACAGACAUUGAAAUGCAUCUCUAAUAGCAACCCAUGUUUCUGCAAACCUUCAAACAAAUUCUCCGCAGACUGCAGAAAUGAUUAAUAGCCCAGUCUCACUGUUUCUGGGACAGGAUACAUAGGCUAAUGGCCAGUGCAAACUCAAUACAACCAGAGGAAGGCAAAAGUGCCAGAAGAACCCUGAGAGUUAGUCUGGUCCAGUGAUUUUCAUUAAACUGUGUUCCCUGAACCCCGUGCCUUGGGCGGGGCUGAGUGUGAGAGGGGAGCAACAGGAGGAGGGUCUGGCUGCCCUUCAACCAGAGUAGAUCCACUUUUAUUUCAUUUAUAUAUCAGCUUUCCGAAAGAUUUUGGUUGGAGAAAGGGUUCUGUUGCCUUAAAAAAGGUUAAAUCCAUUGAUUUAAUCCCAUCUGGCCUUUAAAAAAUAUUUUAUUAUGGAAAUUAUCAAACUUACACAAAAGUAGAGAAAGCAAAAUAGUGAGAUCCUCAGUACCUAUCACCAGCUUCAACAAAUAUCAACUUGUCAACCCAUUCUGUUUAUAAAUCUAGGCUCCACCAUUUACUAGCUGCCUGAUCUGGGCUUCAGUUUCCUCAUCUGUACAAUGGGACUAAUACUAAUACCCAUGUCAAGGGUUUUUGCCAGGCAAAAUGAGGUAAUAUAUGUGAACACUUAGAAUAGUACGUACUGGGCACUAUAUCUAUGCUAGCUCUAAACUUGUUAUUAAUACAGGUUCUGUGAGGCCCACACAGUCAUUGGCAGUGUGCCCUGGGAGGGACUGGCCCACAGCUGCAGCCCUGGCACCACAUAGGCUGGGGUCUGGCUUAUGUGGGAUGUAUCUGUGGAAAAGGUGCUUCCUCCACAGGGCGAGGAGAGGCCUGGCUUAUGUGGGUUUUAUCUGUGGAAAAGGUGCUCCCUCCACAGGGUGAGGAGGGGCCUGACCAGUUGGCAUUCUGCCUCCUCUCCCUCUUCUCACUCCACUCUGCUACAAUUCCUUCACUUAUUGAACAAUGGUAGGCCUGGGGCUCAUAAAGAUAAACAGGAAAUAGGCCCAUCCUUAAUGAGCCCCCAAGAACUAUCCAUAAAGGUAAGAAGGGCCAUAGAACAGUACAGGGAAAGGGACAAAGGGAGGAUGGUCAGAGAAAACUGCACAGAGGAAGACACUUGAAAAGAUCUCAGAACAUUGGUUUACCAGUUAGCUUAAGAGGAAGGAGAAAAGACAUUCAGGGAACAUCUGCAAAGGCUCAGAAGCAUGAAACUAGCAUUGCAUAUUCAAGGAACAGUUAGUAUUUUGCUAUAGUUGAAACCUAGAAGAUAUGAUGAAAAGUGGCAGGAAAUAAAGUUGUGAAGUUGGGAGGGCUCAGAUCAUGGUGAAGGAUGGGUCUUGAUUUUGAUUUUGUUCUUUACUCAGAACAUGAUGGGGAGCCAAUGAAGCCUUAAGCAGGAGAGUAACAUGAUCAGAUUUGAGAUGGAGAAGGACCCUUGGACAGCCAUGUAGAAUAUGGAUGGCAGGUGAAUGAGUCUGGAGGUAAGGACAAGGAAACUACUACAACAGUGCCAGCAAGAGAUGACAGGGACCUGAACUAAGCAGGAGCAGAAGAUGAAAGGACAGAAAGGAGGAUAUAAAAGAGGAGGAGUGACAGACUUUAGAGACAAAAUAUAAGGGUCCAGACAGUCCUGACUUUCUGUCUGGAGUAAUUGGGAAAGAGGUACUAAUUAUUCAGACAGACAGUGCAGGAGCUACAGCUACAUUGCCAGGGAAAACCAGAUGAGUUCCAUUUGGGAUAUGUUGAGUUUUGAAGUGUCUUUUGGACACCCAGAUGAUAUCAUUAGUCAGUAGGGUUUGAGGUUUGGGACCUCAGGAAAGAGGUGUGGGCUGAUGGUUAUGGAAGCCACAGAGGGGAAUAAGCCCUUUCAGAGAGAAAGAGCAGAGGAAAAAGAUAAGAAGCAAGGAUGGAGCCCUGGGGAAAAUUAAACCUUAGGGAAUGAGUGGAAGAAGGAAACUGAGUAGCAGCAGAAAGGUGAGAUGUAGGAAAAGAUCUAGGAAGCCAUUCAAGUAGAGUUUCAAGGUGGAAGAAAUCAACAGUGUCAAAUAAACAGAUGGGUCCAUAAGAUAAAGACAAUAUUUAGAAAAAAGAAGUCAUAGGCGGCCUCAGCAAACAGUUUUAGUAGAGGGGUAGGAAUAGAGCCCAGAUUACAGAAGAUUUAGGAGGGAAUAGGGGAUGAGGAAGCAGAGAUAGUGAACACAGGCACUUCUUUCAAGGAGCCAGACUGAGAAGGGAAGGAAUGAGAAUGAAUGACAGCCAGAGGGAGCUUUGGAGCUGAAGGAUUUCUUUGGAACUAGUGAACACCUGACCACUGUCCUAGAUGAGGGGAAGGAAGCUGGGUAUAAAAGGAGAUGUUUGAUGGGGCAUAGUCUUUGAGGAGACAAGAGGAGAUGGAACCAAAACCUUGGACUAGAAGAGGAAGGCUCCUUACUGAAAAUAGAAGAGAAGUGAAGACGGGUGGGGGAUGCAGAUAACAUGGAGGCAGAAAGGUGAGCGAGAAGUUUAAAAAGUUAAUUCCUAAAAGCCUAGCUAGGUAAAGGAAGGGAGCAAAUAUUAACGGAUCGGGGAAAAGAGGGAUACUUGGUGGCUGGCCAGGAGUGGAAGGAGACCAGACUGGCUGGGCUCCCAGCUACAAAUCCCCAUCUUUCACCCACCCUUGAUCUCGGCGCCAGGAUCCAAGGCGCUCUCCGUGGUCCUGAACAUUUCUGCCUUUGUCUUGUGGACUGAGCACAGAUGAUUCAGGGUAGAGACAUGAUUCAAUUUUAGCUUUCCCACAGGAAAGCACUAAUUCUCAGGAAGAUUGAAAUUGAAAUGGAUUUAGAAUGAGGUAUGAAGAGGCAAAGUGCUUGUACCAACUUUAUCUAACCUUUCUUCACUGAACACACAUGAAUUUUCCUUUAGUUUUAGGAAGGAGUUGGUAGAGGCAGUUCUCAGUUAUGAAAUGCUGAAAGCCUACCUCUGGAAUAGAGUCAUGUCUGUACCCUGUUCAGUCCUCCUAGGUGAAAGAAGGAAGCAGGACAGACCUAGAGCAGAAACAGGGCCAGGAUGAUGGAUAGUGCUGAUAAGGAAACAAGAAAGCAGGGAAGAGCUGGAGCUCAGGCCACUCUCUGACACGUGGGCACAGCGAGAUAGUGCAUCAAAGACCAACUCUGUUUCUAUCACAAUUUGUUAAGAGGUCAGCUCAGAAACUACCUGGGGCUCUGGUCCCCCUGUUCAGGGUUAUGCCACUUGCCCCACUCUCUUGGCAGUGGGUGGGAAUAAGCACAUUUAGAUAUCAUAUUUUAUAGGAAGAUUUAGAAAUUACAACUCAAUGCCUUUAUGUUCAAUGUCCAUGGCUGGGCAGAAACCUAACUUCCUGUCCAAAAAUAUUCAGUAGUAGUCUAGGCAUUGGUUAGAUCUCUCUACUUUCCUGCAGAUGGCUAUUCAUCGAGUCUCUAAGGCAUUCCCAUCUGUCCCUGACUUCACAUCUCAACAUGAGAGUCAUUUGGCCAAUGACAGCUCUUACUCUGUGUUAUGACCUGAAGUCCUGAGUCCAAUUGCUGAGUAGCUCCCACUUUUAUCCCCCACCUUCCCUUCUCCAGGAUUUCUCCAGAAGCUGCCUGCAGUGCCAGGCAGUUGCUAGGACUUCUAUCCUUUGGGGACAUAUUAAGACCCUUAGAGGUCUCACUACGAGGGAAGGACAAAGACCUCUCACAAUGGUAAGGCCUUUGGGAGAGAUCUGGAACAGACCUGGAGAAAUAUAAGGGAGACAGUUGCUCCAAAUGUUGGUAGUGGCUCUUAGAAAGAGGGACAGAAGAAUAGAAAAGUUGGAGAAAAGUCUGUGAAGCCUGAAUAUGGGAAAGGGGGCAGAGGAUCCUGCCUAGCACAAGGAGGCCUCUCUUAUCAGUCUAAAUCUCCUCAAUCUUCUAGAUUGUUCUCUAAAAGAACUCAAUUCAAACAAAGUCAACACACUGGGUGUGCACUCUCUUUCCAGCUCUAGCCAGAGUGCCAGAAGCAGAAUGUAGAGGAAAGCACUCUUUCUUAUACAGACUUCUGCAGAGGGUUUUGGGACAAAGUAAAGUUCACUGAAAAGAAGUGGAGAGGAUUCUUAUGUUAGAGCUAGAGUUUCAGAACUCAAAUUGGCUCUGUGAGUAGCUGAGGAUUUUCCUCUCCUUAAAGAGCUCCUAGGAUAGAAUUUACUACCAUAAACAAGCACUACCAAGCUUCAGUAUCUUUGUGGAGACUGUCAUUGGGAGAACCAAAAUGGAGGAGGGUGCUGCGGAUCCCAAACCUAGUAACAACUGUAGCCACAGCAAGUUUAAUAGAUUUUCCUAUUAUAAAGUAAUACAUGCUAAAAAUUUUUAAAAAUCACCUUGAGUUUCACCAUUUUGAGACAACCUCUGCUAAUGUUCCAGUGUAUUUGAGUCUUUCGUGUGCACUAUAGUAGCAACACUUUGGUUUCCCUUCUCUGAGAGCUGGUGCUGCCAUUCUCAUGGUAAUAGGGAUGGGCCUCCAUGUACCAUGUUGGUUCUAUGUGAUCCUACCCCUGCUUGGACCAGGUGGAGCCAAUCAGUCUCCCCCAGAAUUGGGAAGUGGGACCAAGAGGAGGUGUAAAGCUCAAGACUGUGGAUUAGGUAGCAGAGAAAGCCAUUGGGCAGAGAGACAAAACUAAAGUUGAUGUUCAGAAACAAGCAAACAUAAGAGAGAGAGAAAGUGCUCCAUAGGCUUCAAGCUCUGGUUCUAGAUCUUUCCCUACCCUUUCAGGGCUUGACUACAUGCCUGACCUUAGACAUUAUGAGAUACCCUAGCGUUCUUGCAGGCUAGUCUCCUUUUUAGCUUAACUAGCUUGAGUUGGAUUUUGUUACUGUGACCAGAGAGUACCAACUAAUACAUGUGCAUAGAACAACAUUUAAAGAAAAACACACUGUAUCUUAUAGUCUGUAUUUAUAAAAAUUAGUAUUAGAACAUAAUCAACUACAUACUUUUACAUAGUUUUUGUAACCAUCAGUUUAAGGGUUGCAUAAUAUCCAUAGAGGGAAUGUACAAUAGCUUUUUAACCAUUCACUUAUUUUAGACAUUCAGGUUGUCUGCAAUUUUUCACUAUUAUAAAUAAUGCUACACUGAAAUCCAUAUAUAUUUGCAUUAAGAUCAUUUCCUAAAUCAAAUAGAAUUACUAAGUCAAAAAGCAUGAGCGUUUUUAAGAUUCUUGAUAGAUAUUGCCAAACUGUUUUCCCAAAGGAUUAUUCCAAUUUACAAUGCCUCCAGUCAUGACUGAGAGCUACAGCUGCUUUUUAAUAUUUUAUUUUUCAAUGUGCCAGGGAAUUUCAGGUCAUCACAUACAUCCAUCAUCUUCCAAGAGAGCUCUGCUCUAGUCCUUAUUUGUCUUGUUCCCUCUGGGGAAUCUUCUUUCAAAGAAUAGAAUUUCCUCUGGGCAUCAUGUGGCAGACAAUAUACUCCUGACUUGAGGCCACCAAUUAAGAACAAAAGGAGGGAAGACUGUUACACUGAAGCUUGGGAAAGGGUCUAAAAGGAGCACUAUUACUGCGUGGUAGCUGGGCACCAUGCUUGAACGGGCCCUUGGCCUGGGCCACCAUGUCAGCCGGGGAGCCGUGACGCAAUUGCAGAGUCAGGAGGCAAGCUUCACAGUUCCUCUGGACCACGCUUCCUAAAGCUCUCUUAGCCCCGAACAUCUGGUUCCUUCAGGUCUCCUUUGCUUUCAGACUUGGAGUGGGAGAAUUUACCAAAAUGGCUCUGGAGUUAUCCCAGUGGGAGUGGCAGCUCCUACUCUCUUACCCCUUAUUUAGUUUUCAAAAAUAGCUACUCAGAAACAGGGAGAGGAAAGGACGGUAAAAGAUAGGGAGCUAGUACUGGGAUGGCAAAGAACUAGAUUCAUUUUUGAAGUGGGGAGACAAGGAACCAGUGAGUUUUUAAAAAGAAGAUUUACAAUCCUGCUCCCCCUUCUUCAGGGGUAGGACUACUUGUCCUAGAUUGAAGUUCUGCUAUUCAUUCCCAUUCCCACUCACCUGGAAACCUAUAACCAAAAAGGCUUUGUUUGGGAGAUAAGGCAGACACCUCAACGCAGGGACACCCACUGUAGCAGCUGUGGUUUGGGGGACGCCUGUGCACAAAGGCCUAGAGGACAAGCCUCAUGACCCAUGAGGUAGGAACCAGAGCCAGAAAUUGAGAAACCUUGGUUCCUCCGGGAGGCCUGGCUUGGUCUAGCCUGUUCAUCCCCACCCUUAAGCUCAUCCCAAGUCAGAUGUUGAGGAGGCUCCUGCCCUACCUUCAACCACAGAGACGCAGGUCUUGGCCUAUACAGUCUUGUGGCCUGCAAGGUCUUUGAGCCCCACGUCCUGCUGCCCACCCCCGUCCCCAAUUCAACCUCUUUAGGGAAAGACCAUCUCACCCAAUGGAGAAAGGGGUGAAGGUGUAAACUUCUUUAACAAUAGAUAAACAAUGGCUAAAAUGGUAAAUUUUUAGGUUAUAUAUAUUUUACGACACAAAAAAAUGGGGAAAAAAAAGAUCAACUGGCAGGGCCUGAGGCAGAAAGAGGAGAUAGUAUGAGGGUGGGUGGUGGAGAGGAGACAGUUCCUUGUCUUCUUCUUUUAUUCAGGUUCAGCCAAGACAGACUCUGGGGACAAGGCCUUUCACAGGAGAGUGGAAAUGAUUCCAAAACCAAGGGAGCUGGAGAGGCUGAGGGAUUCUGGAUUGAGUUCCUGGGGGCCUUCUACUCAGGGUGCCCCUUAGGCAGGGCCCAGAGGAGAAGGAAGGAACCAGAUGUUCAGGGCUAACGGAGCUUUAGGAAGCGUGGUCCAAAGGAUCUUUCAGUUUCCUUCCAGGACGUGGAUUCCAGUUCCCCAAGGUAAGGAAGGAGGCACGGGACAGUGAGGAGAGAUGCGGCCCAGGAAUCGAUAGAGGCAGUUGGUUGGAGUCUUUGAGACUGGUCCUUCAGCUCUGCACGUGGUAGGAAGCUGACACAGAAGAAAUUCAAGGGACACUGACAUUUGGUCUGGGCCAGACUGACUUGUGGAUCCUCAGCAAGAUCCUGAUCCCAAAUCGCAUUUGAGGAUUUUCAGUAAUUUUCAGUUACUCAAGGGACUGAGACUGGCCUGCACUGCUCCUUGAUUUCUCAAGAUAGCAAAGUAAUAGUCUGGCAGUCUGUGGGAUGCCUCCACAGAGCUGCCAUCUCUGGUCCCUUUCCUCUGGCCUUGGAAGAGUAAAGAGCCACUUGUCUGCAACGGACAAUGGAUUUAGAGGGCUGGGAUCAAACAGCUUCUCCCCUCUGUGGUGUUUCCUGCCCCUGCCCUUCCUCUCCUGUUCAGCUUGUCCAAACUCUAAUCUCCACUAUGCCUGGCAAGCACCACUUUUUGGCUAGAGCAGUCUCCUAUUCUUUCCUUUUUGUCAUCCCAAUAAUUAAACAUCAGUGAGCUUGGCACUUGUUUAAAAAACUUGAUAUUCACUAAACACCAACAAAGCACGGGCAGGGAACAAUGUACUUGGGGAGGGAAAAACACCAAAACCCGGUUCUUGCCAAGAAGACUUUAGUCUAAAGGUGGGGAGACGACAGGCACACAAAUUAGCCUAUUUAAGGCAGAGAGAAGAGCAUGAGAGAUAGGAAUACAUGGAGGGUGGUGGGAACACAGAGGAGAGAGUGAUGGUGGCAGAGGUUUGUUAUCCUCCCUCCUGUAGAGGGUCAGGCCUGGGCAGGAGCAGGUUAAACCAGGGGCCUGGCUAUUAGGUCACUGGGUACUUUGUCAAGAGGGUGCAGCAAUGACAGUUGAGGCUCAGCCCAAGGGCCGGAACUCUAUUCUUAGUACUUUUAGUUGCUUCUGCUGCAACCAGGCACUCAGCCCACCCCAUUGCUGGGGGUCAAGUACAGCAGGGACUUUUCCUUACCUCUGAGAUGCACAAACAACUCUCCCACAGAGAAGGGUCAAGAGGCUCUAGGUGGGUUGCUGGGAAGUGUUUUUAUUGGGAAGGCAAACAGGGAUUCAGAGUCCUAAGAGUGCUUAAGGCAGAGAGAUGGUGGCUCUGGUGAAACAAACUCUUCCAGCCUCCAACCAGCCCCAGGGCCUGCAGUCCCUCUCCCCAGGCCUGCUCUGUGCAGCAGGGGCGUCAGAGAGGGCUAACUCCACAAAUGCGUAUGAACCCCCUCCUGAGUUUCCAAAGAGAAGUCAGUUCUUCAAGCGUGUGUGUGUGUUUGUGUGUGUGACACGUGUGCCAGUUGGUGGUGGAAGUGGAAGAGUCGGGUAGAGUCUAGCCUAGCACAAGCUCGAGGCGAGUCUUCAGCAGUGAAGUCAGCCAGUUUCUGGUUAAGCAUCUCUCCAGGGAAACCAUACUCAUCUGCUAAGCUAGAUGACCGUGAGGUCCUUGCUGGAGGGUCUUCCCCAGGCUCAGGGUGGUAGAGUGCCUUUCCCUGCCCACUGGUCUCUCCCUGGCUGGCGCACUGACACUGACUGUAACUCAAAGGUACAACUUCAUUCCUGAGGCACCCACAAGAAAUGGCCCUGAAACAACAAAUAACCAAGAUCCACCCAAAGAGCCCCCUACAGCUCUGUAGCCCACACCCCUGAGGAACACCUCCUUUGCUCUGACUAUACCCCUGCCCCCAGUUCCUCCCACCUGUGCAGACUUCGCCUCUUCUAGAUAGCUCUGACACACCUGCACAGCCUACAUCCCUCCGCGCCUUCUGAGCUUAUUUAUGCCCCUCUAGGAUAGUGCUUCUUAAACAUUCACGUGCAUACAAAUCACCUGGGGAUAUUGUUUAAAUGCAGAUUCUGAUUCAGUAGGUCUGGAGUGGAGCCUGAGUGUCUGCAUUUCAUACAAGCUCCCAGGUGAUACCAAUGUUCUUAGUACAGAGACCACACUUUGAAUAGCAAGGCUCUAGGCCAGCCCCUCUACACCCACACCAUCCCCAGACAGCCCCUCAGAGAGCCCUCUGCCUAGGCCUAACCUGGUUACAUUCUUAGUACCAAGAAAGGACAAUAGUUUGGUAGGGGAGGAGGCAGGAGACUACCCAGGGCUCAUUUUGGGGAGGCAGCUCUGCCAAGAGCCCUGGCUGGGCCCAGGCAGAGAGCUGCGCAGAGCAACGGAGCCCAGGUGUGGCUCUUCUGGAAUUCAUCAAAUCAUUUAGUUAAUACUGCUUGAAUGUCUGCUAUAUGCACAGCUGUAUGCUUGUUGCUUUAAAUAUAUUAUCUCACUUAAUCCUCCUAAAAGACAAAGUAAGGGCCAAUAGCAUUCCCAUUUUAAAAUUGAAGAACCAGGUUGUAUAAAGUAAUAUGUUCAAAGUCACACCUUGAAGGUGGUAGCACUAGGAUUUGAAUUUAAUUUGCUUGUUUCUUAUACCACAGCCCCUUUUCAGAGACAUCAGAUAAACUCAUCAGAUAAAUAACACAUCAGAAUUACAUGGCCGUGGGACUGCUGUCUCGUAAAGCAAAGCAGACACUUGGGAGACCGGUACUCAUUGAAUCAGGUCUCCAGUGCUCAGCACACACGUGGAGCCCCUCUUUAGAAGAUGGCAUGAAUGCUUUCUGAUCACCAACUUCCUGCUCAAUGAGUCCUCCACAGGAAGGAAAUAGUGGAGUCACUGAAGCAAUUAAUAACUCAGAAUGGAGAAAGAGAGAGAGAGAGACUGGCAGGAAGCAGCCAGCAAGAAAAAGCACUGGCAACAGAGGAUGCUGAGCCCAGGAGAGAAAAGCAGAGGGCAGUACAGGAAAAGGAGAUGAAAGGGUCUCAGCCAUUCAGUGCUGGUCCCACAUUUUAGGGGCACUUAUAUUCUAGGCACUGUGCUGGGUGCCACGGAUUCAAAGAUAAUAUAGUCUCUACCCACGAAGAGCUCAAAGGCCUGUGAGUAAAGCAAAUGAAUAAACAGAUAAUUUCAAUAAUAUGCCACGUGCCAGAAGAGAGGUUUGUAUAGUGUUGUGGGUAUACAGGAUAGAAGCACCUAUCCCACCUGGGGAAUCCAGGAAGACUUCUCCAAACAAAGCUGAGGCAUGAAGGAUGAGCAGGAGGUAGAUGUGAAUCAGAUGAAGAAAGGAGUAGGGAACAAAACAAAAAGAAAGUAAUGGCGAGAAGACAUAUAUGACUAUGUAGCAGCAAGAGGAGCCGCUGAAUUUUGCUGGAAUGUUAAAUAGGAAGGGGUGAAGUGGCAGGGGAUGAGACUAGAAUGGGAGGAAGGCUUAAAGUCAUGAAGGGCUUUGUAAGCCAUGUUCAGGGCUUUGGACUUUAACUGGAGAUAAUGGGGAGCCAUUGAAGGAUUUUAAGCCCAUUGUCAGAUUUAUACAGACGAUCACUCUUGGAGCAGUGUGGAAAGAAUGGGAAGGAAUGAUUAAACUGGAGGCCAGGAGACCAGAUAAGAGGCAGUGCAAGAGGUAAUAAAAGCUUGAAAUAGGCAGGGUCAGUGGGCCUGGAGAAAAGGGGAUGGAGAAGAAAAACACGUUGAGGCCAAACUGCCAGGGCUCAGUGGCUGAUUGCAUCUGGGUUUGAGGGGAAGACUUGGCAGAGAGAUGACUCCCAGGUUUCUUCCUGACGCAGGAACUGAUGGGUGAAUUGUGAUACCACCAAACAAGACAGAGAAACAGAAAUACAGGUAAGUUCUAAUGAUUUUGUUUUGUGCUGGUGUGUGCGUAUAUCUAUAAACAUGAAGGGCCCGAGGAAAGAACAUGGGGAACACCAGUACUGAAGAGGUAUGCAGAAGAAGACUGACAGCCGUGGUCAGAGAGGCAGAGGACCAAGGAGAGGCUGGUGUCAUGGAUGUCUAGGAAGGACAAGGUUUUGAGAAGGAUAAUGUAAGAUAAGGAGGAACCAGAACCAGAGUCCUAGAGGGGUUCUUACAUGACGGGAGAGACUGGAGGACAGUUGAGGCUGGGGGAGAGCCAGUGGAGGAGGGCCAGCUGUUUGAAGACAUCAAGAAAGAGAACUCAAGACACGCUGUUUGUUCUCUGGUUUGCUGACGUUUCAGCAAAAACUUAAUUUUGUUCUCAACAACUAUGGGUCUGAUCUUUGGGAAGUGUGAGACUCCUCAGAGAGAGAAACCCUCUAGUAGAGAAGUCCAGCCAUGGUCCAGAGAUCAUGACGGGUCUGCUCUUUCUUGGGAAGUGUGGGCAGGGGUGGGCUGAAGGCAAGGGAGGCUGACCAGGGCCUGCCAACCUGGAAGGAACAGUAAGCAGAGGGAUGGGAGUUGCCAAGUUCUGUCUACACCACAGUCCCCUGACUUAGCCUUGGGUCAUCCUCCCCAGGCAAUGCCAAAAAGCAGCAAAGACUCUGGGUUUCUAAUCCCUGGGGCAGGAGGCCUGCAAAGACCUAACAGGAGCAGCCUGGGAAUCCAGGAUGGAGGGGAGCAGCCUAACUGAGGUUUUUCUAGAACUUGGAACACUGCUCUACCAACCGUGAACAUCCAGCAGAGCUCAACCUCGGAACCUAAGCUCCGAGUGAUCGUGAUUAUGUGGUGAUCAUGAUUCCUCACUUUAAAAACCUUCAGUAAUACUUUUCUGUUAAAACAAAGUAAAACUAAAGAACCACUCGACUUAAUUAUCAGUCCAUCUCUCAGACAUCCAUGACACCAGCCUCUCCUCAGUUAGAAAGGAAACUCCGAAAGCUCCCAUGUUUCCUGGCAGGGGAACAACACUUUCUCUACUCCACAACCUUGUGGCAGUCAGAAGAUAGGAGAGCUGACGGUCUAUGGAAAGAACCCGAAAAUCCUGGAUCCAGUCUACAAUCAAACCUGGGCUGCUCUGGAUUCUGACAGAAUUUUGCCACCCACCCCUCUCUGGCCCAGCUCCUGCCAGCUGCAAAUUGUCUGGAUCGAGCUGCUUCGACACGCUGAUGUUAUCGGCCUUGAAGUGCCUGGAGCAUGUAGAUAGGAACAGGCUAUGGCGCCAUCUCACCGGACGUACUAAUGUAAUUUAGUUUCUGAAAUCCAAGUAUAAAAUCUUGAAAGCUAACGUUUUUUAU